ensembl:lncRNA
CUGUAGGUAGGCAGACCAUACAACUAAGGCUGCGCCCAAAUGGCACCCUGUUCCCUACACUUUUAGGGAAAAAAUGGUUCCAAAAGGUUAAUUCGGCUGUCCCCAUAAGAUAACCUGUUUUUGGUUCCAGGUAGAACACUUUUGGUUCCAAGUAUAACCGUUUUGGGUUCCAUGUCGAACCCUUUCCACAGAGGGCAAUACAUGGAACCCAACAUGGUUAUACAUGGAACCAACAAGGGUUCUUCAAAGUGUUCUCUUAUGGGGACAGUCGAAGAACCCUUUUAUGUUCUAGGUGGCACCUUUUCUAAGAGUUUACAUAGUGCACUACUACUAGAGUCCUAUAAGCCCUGGUCAAAUGUAGUGCAUUAUAUAGGGAAUAGAGUGCCAUUUGGGAGGCAUGUAGAACAGGUAGGCCAGAACUUGUCCUCCAGCCCUUCAGUUCAGCCAGUCAGUUCUCUUAUCUACUUGUACAGGUAAUCAUUAUGUGCAAAACAUAACAUUGCAGUUAUGUUACCCACUCAGGCCAGAGCAGCUGCAAUAACACGAUAACAAUUGUUGCUGAGUAACUAUGACUCUCUAUAGUGACUUUUUUGUAUUGGCCUAGUUGUGAACAAACAGGCUUAACACCUGUAUAGUCUGUAGCUUACUUAUUUGUGUGUGUGUUUGUGUGUGAGGUUAUUUUCCUACUCUCCACUGCUGUAGCCAGAUUGGUCACAGGACAGUCCAGGGAAGAAAAAAAAACACUCAGUCACGAUGACUAAUUCAAUUCUGGCCUAAUUUAAGUCACUCACUCUGUCUUCCUCAGUAGGAAAGUACGUCACUCGGAUCAGACUCUCGACCAGUGGUUGGGCUAUCUUACCCACUCCCCGCCAGAGCUGGGUUCAGACUCUUUUACAAACCUUUCAAAUACGCUGAGCAUUUGCUCUAGUCUGCCUGAAGAGCCAGAUGGGUGGGGUUUGCACUUUUGAGACGUCUCUAUUGGUUCCAUUGCAGCAGGACACUUUUGUUCUGACUGGAGUGAUUGAGGUUGGAUGGCUUCGGAAUGUUAUUUAGCUGAGUCAUUCGCUUGUCGUAGAACAUACUAAAUCACUCUUGAAAAUGAAAGUUCUAUCUGUUUUGAUCAGACAUGGAAAUCAGUGCUAAAAACAAAUUAAAGGAAGAUGGUGAACAAGCUAUGAAGGUAAGAUACUGACAUUUUGGUGCAGGUACAGCCAACUAGCGCAAAAAUAUUAUUUAAAUAUUGUCAGUACGAUAUAUCAUCCCGAUAUGAAAAUGUAUUUCUUUCUUUCCCCCAUCACUAUUAGAUAAACCCUGUUCACCCUAACACCUAACUGUCCUGUCUUUUCGCUCUUCUCUUCUAGUUGCCAACGGCGCCCAGACCUUCCCAGUAAAUACAACAGUGCAAUUUGAGAUUCCAGAGCGGGCGACUUCUGGGAAAGCUUCUAGAGUGGAGCAACUGAUCAACCAAACUAAACUGAGCCCCCCUCAUUCCUGAAUCCUCAGGGCUGCUAGCUUACGCUGAUGACAUUUUUGGCACCUGCUCUUUUUUUUCUCCCUCUACAGAGUUUUAGGAGUUUCCACCCCUCUACUACCCUAUCCUUGUCCCUCUUCUACCCAACUUCUGGCAGAAGUGUAGCUCCAUGAGCUAAGUCCUGAUUUAUAAUUAUGACCACCAUUGAAGAUGCAGUAGUAUAUCAGUGUCUGUUUUUUGGGCCUCAGAGCGAAAAAGGAAUAAGCAAGUAGUUGGACUUGAGAGAAGAUGUCAGAGUACUAGACACAUCUGUCUGUUUUUCUGACUGUUGCGGACUCUUUUGUUCAGAAAGUUCCCCUUUAGGAGAAAAACAUGUCCGCUUGUUGAUGUGAAUAACAGUAAUUCCCUACUGCGUCUUUUCGGACUCGCUACAUACCUCCUGCCAAAAAGACCAUACAUCUUGCUGUUCCUUUAAUUAAAAGAGAAAGAGAAGAGAAGUUUACUCAAGGGCAGGUGGGAGAGAAUCUAGAACACUGAUGUCAUAAAUCGUGGUGGAUAACGAUUGGCCUGGUUAUAACAUACAUAACCAUGACUGGCAGUUCAUGUAGAAGAAGUAUUUUU